CGUCGCACGCAGCGUGCCGCGGCCAGGCAGGGUGCCAGGCUCUGCCAGCACAGCGCAGCACCGCUGCAGUACCAUUCCCAGGCAAACACCACUUGGAAUAAAAGCUUGCACUUCCUAAAGUACUCAGAAGAAAGCACACUGGCUACCGCCAUCCAACAGGUAAUAUCUUCAGAUUUCUCUCUUGGCAUCAUUCCCCAGCUCCUACCUGAGUAUCUGAUGUCCACGGCUUCCUACAGCAUGGUGGCAGAUGCCAUUCUGAUAGGAGAACAGCAAUUCCUUCCUGACCCAGAGGGUUACAUCAUACCUCUGAAAUGUGAGAUCAGAUCCAGUCCAGCUACCUGUCCGUCUCCAGGCUGCCUAUCAAUUAGCAUUAGACACUAAUUUGAUUAAAUCAGCACACUGAGAUUUUAUUUGGUUCCACCUAAGGAGGAUAAUUCCCCCUGCGUGGUCUUUGGAACCCACUAAUUUUCCAAUGCAAUGGGAAACACAGGUUGGGAUUUGGAGGCUCUUUCUUCUACUUGUUAACAUGUGAGCUGAAAACCGCAGUAAAAAAUAAAUCCAUGCAACUUGGUAGAAUGGGACUUGCCAGCUGAGGAGAAAGCAGCUUUUUACAGAAUAGCCCAGAUGGAAAAAAAUGUAUGCAUUUAACUCUGAAACCUGAAGUGUUCUUUGAGGGAAAACGAAUACGUUUUAGCCUUAAAGGGAUCACAGACUGCAAUUAUAUAAUUCUUGUCAACUGAUGUUAAAGAUAGG
ensembl:lncRNA